CACAGCUACCCUACAAGCAGUGCCAUUCCAGACCAUGCAUGCUGACAGGCCAAGUUGAUCAUCCACCAAUCCACAUCUCCAUGAGGCAGUUGGAUUAAGCGUCCAAACUCACAGCCCUGGUAUUUCUGGAACAAAACGAUCUAUUUUCAGCUGUUGUUUUUUUUCCCCACAGAAAACCUGCAGCCAGCAUGCUUUGUUAACCUCACAGGCUGAGUUAAACCUGGUUGUAUUCUGUACCAGCCCCACCGGAGGCAACGUGCUGAUAAAGGUUGUCUGAAUUCAUCCCACCUGACUUCCAGGUUUUAGGAUAGGACCCAAAGAUCACUGAACCACCAGUGGAAAGAAACAAGCUCUUCCCAAGAGCGAAUCAGGUUCUAUUCAUCAGUUGCAAGUUCUGUGCCAGGAUGCUGGCUCCUUGUCCUCACAGCUGGGGCAGCUCCCCACAGGCAGCUGGGAGGAGGCCUGGACAGAAGAGUGCAGCCUCUCCUAGGGCCUGCCUUCCUCUGCAGGAAAUCCUGGCUUCCAGGGAGGAAGAGAGCUGCACCAUGCUCCCAGAGAGACUGUGUGAAUUGUGAGGUGCACCACAAAGUUUGGUUGAUGCUUUGGUGGUGAGAUGUAGUUCAUAGAAAUCAGUGUAAUGAUUCCUAAGACCCUUUAUGGCUCCAGACCCAUCUACCAGCAUCUUUUGCAGUUGACCUGGGUGUCAACCCAGACAUGGCAUCGGAUAUGGCCGUGAUGUCAUUCUAACCCAGGCUAGAUAAUCAUGCCCAAAUGUGUGAGGUAUGGGGAAAGGUAACUGAAAUGUUACCUGAAGUGAGUACCACGCAACAAUGAGAAUACAUAGCAUAUUUACUUUGAGGUUUGAAAAUAAAAAAUACUUGCAGCAAGCCAAUUUAGAAUAGCAUUUUUUUACAUCGAUAAAUAGUACAAGAUUUUUGUUGAAAAUAAUUAAGCACUGCAAUUGCACAUUAUCUUUACUGCAUGAAGAGAGAGGUUAGGCAUCUCCAAAGCUCUGGAAGAUUGUUCUGUCAUUAUGUCACAAUUGAUCAGUAUUUAAUUGUUUUGCUUGAGGAUUUUUUGCCUCUUCUCUACAUGAUGAUUUCUUUCGGCACACAAAUCAAAACUAUUUAUCAGCAAAAGUUACUAAUUUCUCUCAAAGAGAUUCCUUCUGAGUUUUCAUGCUGAGACACUGGUCUUGAUUAACUUUCUUCUGUAAUCUAUUGAGCUUCCGGUGGCUGAUUUAAGCAUUAAAUUUAUCCAGUUUAAGUACUGAUUACUGCAGACUAAAAGCUUCAUCCAUAUCAAAGACUUAUCCCCCCCACCCCCACCACCCCAAGGAAGAAAUUUAAAAGCCCGUUAAAAUGCCCUUCCUUUUUCCAAGGAUGUUACUGAAAUAACUUGGUGCUAAGAAUACAUGAGGUUUGUGUUGAGCUAAAAUCUGAAAGCUGGAACUGAGACAGAUGCCCCCAGAUAGUCCUAAAAAUCUUCAACCGGAUAUUCAGGUUUGAAAUCCACUGCAAUCCAAAUACCACCACAGCCUGGGGCACUGAUAUUCAUCAUUCUAGUUCUAAUGAGCGCAAGGGGAGAAGGGAAUCAGCUGUAUUGGAUCUGAAUCCAAAUUCUCCUGAGGUGUCUUUGAAAUUUUGGGGGGAGAUGAGAUGGAAAGGAUGGUAAUGAAGUGAUAGUGAAGUAGCAAAAGUAAGUAAACGAUUAAGAUACGAAGAUAUAGUGACAACAGUAAAGCUGGAAGUGUGGAAAUAGUUUUCAUUUCUGAUACUCUCCCUGUAAAACGUCUUUUUCUAGUUUAUUAUCACAUUUUCUAUAUCUUUAUAGUUAGUAUGUAUCAUUUGGCUACAGAAGUACAUAAAAUAUUUGGAAUUAUUGAAUUCAUUUUUUUUAUGUACGUGACGUGACCAAAAGUGACCAUGGGGUUCUCCAAGGGAGCUUCAGAAGCCCUCACAACAACAGAAGCCUUUCUGAAGACUGCAGCAGAACUGGAGGCCCUUCUGCCAUGCUGUGUCAAGUGCAAUGGAGAUUACUGUACUUUCAGCCACUGAGGUUGGACUUAGAAGCCUAAAGCAUCAAGUUACCAGCCAAGUGAAAAGGCAGUUAUGUACAUAAUACCACAGAGAGACCCUCCUUGCACUCUAAGUUGUUCAGGUUUCCAGCUCUGGUCUGGGAGAUGUUUUGAGAAAAUGAUUGUAUUUGAAACAACAACUGUUGGAGCGGAGGGAGGCUCGGCUGUGCAACUGUUUUCAUCUGGCCGUACAGCAAAGCGUGUGUUCAGUCUUGCAGAAAUCGUAACCUAAAAAACAAAUAAACAACAACAACAAAAAUACAAAACAUGCUUCUCAAAGAUAGAUAUCCGUCUCACAGGGUAAUGGAACAUAGCUUUGAAAAAAGCUUCAAAAUGCUAAAACAGCAAAGGCCAUAUCUUCAAUGUGUAGCUUUCUCAAAGUUAGGAUUCCAAAACAUGUAAGUAUCCAUAGCUUUUCCUGCAUUUGAGCAUUUUAGCUAAAGUCUGUGUAUAUAUGUGUGUAUGUAUGUAGUAUGUAUAAUGUAUGCUUUAAUUUAUAUUUUCCUUAAAAUGAGUCACUGCACAUCAGAACUUGAUGCGAAAUACAAGACCAUACAGAAACCUCUAUACUUUCUUGAAAGGAAAUAGUUACCUUUGUUUUCAUGCAUUUCAUUUUCUUCUAUUGUUAUCAUGCUUCUUAGCAUAACACAAACCCAGAAUUUCUCCUGUGCUUGCCAGCUGGUAGCCAGCCACAAGAGCUGAUGUAAGUAGUUAGCAAAGUCCCUGGACUGGUAUCUGGACUUCCAAUGCGUGUCCUGCACAUUAGCACAGCUGAGCCUCCAGCUGAGACCAUCACGGCAUUUCAACC
ensembl:lncRNA